rnacentral:rRNA from 1 species
GAUGAACGCUGGCGGCGUGCUUAACACAUGCAAGUCGAACGAUGAAGCCCAGCUUGCUGGGUGGAUUAGUGGCGAACGGGUGAGUAACACGUGGGCAACCUGCCCCAAACUCUGGGAUAACUCCUCGAAAGAGGUGCUAAUACCGGAUACGAACUAGACAGACAUCUGUACUAGUUGGAAAGUUUUUCGGUUUGGGAUGGGCCCGCGGCCUAUCAGCUUGUUGGUGAGGUAACGGCUCACCAAGGCUACGACGGGUAACCGGCCUGAGAGGGCGACCGGUCACACUGGGACUGAGACACGGCCCAGACUCCUACGGGAGGCAGCAGUGGGGAAUAUUGCGCAAUGGGCGAAAGCCUGACGCAGCGACGCCGCGUGAGGGAUGAAGGUCUUCGGAUCGUAAACCUCUUUCAGUAGGGACGAAGCGAAAGUGACGGUACCUAAAGAAGAAGCACCGGCUAACUACGUGCCAGCAGCCGCCGUAAGAC